UACGAAGGGGGCUAGCGUUGCUCGGAAUCACUGGGCGUAAAGCGCACGUAGGCGGAUUGUUAAGUCAGGGGUGAAAUCCUGGAGCUCAACUCCAGAACUGCCUUUGAUACUGGCGAUCUCGAGUUCGGGAGAGGUGAGUGGAACUGCGAGUGUAGAGGUGAAAUUCGUAGAUAUUCGCAAGAACACCAGUGGCGAAGGCGGCUCACUGGCCCGAUACUGACGCUGAUGUGCGAAAGCGUGGGGAGCAAACAGG
rnacentral:rRNA from 1 species